CUUAAUGUUUAACACUGAAUCAGUUCCCUUAAACAUUUCUUACAAAUCCUUCAGAACUUAGAAUUUACCUAUGCACAGUUCCUACUGUGAUCACAGAAACUUUGAUAGUGUUAACCAGGCUUUACGCGGGGGAAAAGUCCAUCCAAUGCUUCUACAAUAUCAUGUGCGAGUUUUUUUACAGCCCAAACCAAGCUUCCAAGAAAAAUAUACAUGUCAAGGUCUGGUAAACAUACGGCCUAAUCUCACGACUAUUAAGUUGUUGACAAGAGUUAUAGUUAUUUGGGAAAUUUUUUUUUUUAAAUCAAGAAUGUUAAGGC